rnacentral:rRNA from 1 species
GUGGAUUAGAUACCCGGGUAGUCCGCACAGUAAACGAUAAUCACUGGGUGUCGGUCGGAUUAGCCGGUCGGUGCCGUAGCUAACGCGCUAAGUGAUUCGCCUGGGGAGUACGAUCGCAAGGUUGAAACUCAAAGGAAUUGACGGGGGCCCGCACAAGCGGUGGAGCAUGUGGUUUAAUUCGAUGCAACGCGAAGAACCUUACCUGGGCUUGACAUCUAUCGAAUCCUUCAGAGAUGAGGGAGUGCCUUUCGGGGAACGAUAAGACAGGUGCUGCACGGCCGUCGCCAACU